rnacentral:lncRNA from 1 species
AGGAGGAGGAGUGUGUGGUGUGGCCCCAGGAGCGCCCUUGGUCAUCGGAUCACUGUGCUGAGGGUGGAGUAGUACUCCGGGUGCCCUGGCAGCAGGGGCCGCUUGAGGGUGCGCCAGGUUUCAUUUCGGUUCUGCCACACAUAAUGCACCAGGUCAGCUACCCUCCAAAGGCAGGGGCCACAUUGGUGCUCCCCUGGGCCCUGCCCCGCCCCACACAGCUCUUCCUCCCCUGCCAGCAGCAGGAGCUCCUGCUCCACCGAGGUCUGGUCGGGUGCCGGGGCCGCACACGAUGCCUGUCCUGGUGCCCGGUGCCAGCCUCACCAGCCUGAGCACUCCCUGGAGGGCACAGUCCCAGUGUCACGGGUUGGCGGAUUGGUUCACUUGGAUCUGCAGCCCCACGAAGGCCUCCACGGGCACCGAGGUCAGCUUUUCAGAGAGGUUGAGAUGGUGCACUGUCCCCGCCAGGAACGAGAAGGCUGCCCCUAAGAAGCGGGCGAGGACAUUACGGGACAGAUGCAGCUCCUCCAGGACAGUGCAGUUCAGGAAACCAGGCUGAAGAACGUGAAGUAUAUCGCCCAAAGUCAGACACGAAGGAACAACUGCUUUGGAGCUAGCACAUUCCUGAGCUGGAAUUGCACCACUGGUCAAUGGGACUGCAGAAUCCAAACUGCUUUCUACCGGAACAACUCCUUCCCUGCAGGAAGCAGGGUGCUCAUGGCUGAACCAUGGUCUGAGAAGGUUGAUGAAGUCACUGACUCAGCCCCAGCAAGGAAGUUGUCCUUCGACUUCUGA